UCAAAAAACCAAAACCAAAACCAAAACCAAAACCAAAAAAAAAACAAAACAAAAAACAAAAAAAAAAACCAGGUCCUUAUUGACAUUUUCCUCGCUCUUUGCUUUUAGGAAAAAGCAGCAAAUUCCAACAAGAGAGAAGUAUCACUGGAUGGCAAACGGAGAGUGGGGUCCCAGCCUCACUCUGAGGGCAGGCUGAACACCUUAGGGACCAUCAACCCCCGGUGGUGUCGUUUCCAGUGAAAACCGAACUCCGGGAUGUAGCCGGAUUGGAGAGAAGCGAGUGACGCGUGCGCCCCCUUCCUGCGGCGGAUGGAUGAACGCCUGUGAGGAACCAAGAGCUGCCAGCAACCAUGCAAGUGAGCCUGGAAGUGGAUUCACCAGCCCCAGCCAAUCCCUGAGACAACUGCAGCUGUGGCCCAGCUUGACUGCAGCUCCAUGUGAGAAUCGGAGCCCAAGCAACCCAGCUAAGCCACUCUUGGAUUCCAGACCCUCAGAAGCUGUGAGAUAAUAAAUAUUUGCUGAUUUGAGGUCCUUUGUUACACAGCAAUAGAUAACUCAUACAAAUUGUUUCUGGCUCUAAAAUUCUA
rnacentral:lncRNA from 1 species